AAUUUUGGACAAUGGGGGAAACCCUGAUCUAGCCACCCCGCGUGUAUGAUGAAGGCCUUAGGGAUGUAAAGUACUUUUGGCAGAGAAGAAAAGGUAUCCCAUACUACGGUAUAUGGCGGACGGAGUCUGCAGAAUAAGCACCAGCUAACUAUGUUCCAGCAGCCGAGGUAAUACGUAGGGUGCAAGCGUUAAUCGGAAUUACUGGGCGUAAAGCGUGUGUAGGCGGUUCGGAAAGAAAGAUGUGAAAUCCCAGGGCUCAACCUUGGAACUACCUUUUUAACUGCUGAGCUAGAGUAUGUCAGAGGGAGGUAGAAUUCCACGUGUAGCAGUGAAAUGCGUAGAUAUGUGGAGGAAUACCGAUGGCGAAGGCAGCCCCCUGGGAUAAUACUGACGCUCAGACACGAAAGCGUGGGGAGCAAACAGG
rnacentral:rRNA from 1 species